rnacentral:rRNA from 1 species
AACGAACGCUGGCGGCAUGCCUAACACAUGCAAGUCGAACGAGACCUUCGGGUCUAGUGGCGCACGGGUGCGUAACGCGUGGGAACCUGCCCUUAGGUUCGGAAUAACUCCCCGAAAGGGGUGCUAAUACCGGAUAAUGUCUUCGGACCAAAGAUUUAUCGCCUUUGGAUGGGCCCGCGUUGGAUUAGCUAGUUGGUAGGGUAAAAGCCUACCAAGGCGACGAUCCAUAGCUGGUCUGAGAGGAUGAUCAGCCACACUGGGACGGAGACGGGGCCCAGGCGCGUGAGGGAGGCAGCAGGGGGGAACAUGGGAGAAGGGGCGAAAGCCGGAGACAGCGAUGACGAGCGGGGGAAGAAGGUCUUAGGAUCGGAAAGCAAUGUAAGGCGGGAGGAAGGGCAGUAAGUUAAUACCGUGCCGGGUUGAAGGUACGGAAAGAAGAAGAACCGGCUAAAGUCGGG